rnacentral:rRNA from 1 species
CUCCUAGUACGAGAGGACCGGAGUGGACGCAUCACUGGUGUUCGGGUUGUCAUGCCAAUGGCACUGCCCGGUAGCUAAAUGCGGAAGAGAUAAGUGCUGAAAGCAUCUAAGCACGAAACUUGCCCCGAGAUGAGUUCUCCCUGACUCCUUGAGAGUCCUGAAGGAACGUUGAAGACGACGACGUUGAUAGGCCGGGUGUGUAAGCGCAGCGAUGCGUUGAGCUAACCGGUACUAAUGAACCGUGAGGCUUAACCUUACAACGCCGAAGGUGUUU